UGGGGAAUAUUGCACAAUGGGCGCAAGCCUGAUGCAGCCAUGCCGCGUGUAUGAAGAAGGCCUUCGGGUUGUAAAGUACUUUCAGCGGGGAGGAAGGCGAUAAGGUUAAUAACCUUGUCGAUUGACGUUACCCGCAGAAGAAGCACCGGCUAACUCCGUGCCAGCAGCCGCGGUAAUACGGAGGGUGCAAGCGUUAAUCGGAAUUACUGGGCGUAAAGCGCACGCAAGCGGUCUGUCAAGUCGGAUGUGAAAUCCCCGGGCUCAACCUGGGAACUGCAUUCGAAACUGGCAGGCUAGAGUCUUGUAGAGGGGGGUAGAAUUCCAGGUGUAGCGGUGAAAUGCGUAGAGAUCUGGAGGAAUACCGGUGGCGAAGGCGGCCCCCUGGACAAAGACUGACGCUCAGGUGCGAAAGCGUGGGGAGCAAACA
rnacentral:rRNA from 1 species